UGGGGAAUAUUGCACAAUGGGCGCAAGCCUGAUGCAGCCAUGCCGCGUGUGUGAAGAAGGCCUUCGGGUUGUAAAGCACUUUCAGCGGGGAGGAAGGCGUUAAGGUUAAUAACCUUGGCGAUUGACGUUACCCGCAGAAGAAGCACCGGCUAACUCCGUGCCAGCAGCCGCGGUAAUACGGAGGGUGCAAGCGUUAAUCGGAAUUACUGGGCGUAAAGCGCACGCAGGCGGUCUGUCAAGUCGGAUGUGAAAUCCCCGGGCUCAACCUGGGAACUGCAUUCGAAACUGGCAGGCUUGAGUCUUGUAGAGGGGGGUAGAAUUCCAGGUGUAGCGGUUAAAUGCGUAGAGAUCUGGAGGAAUACCGGUGGCGAAGGCGGCCCCCUGGACAAAGACUGACGCUCAGGUGCGAAAGCGUGGGGAGCAAACAGG
rnacentral:rRNA from 1 species